rnacentral:pre_miRNA from 1 species
CAACUACUCCCUCUGUCCCAAAUUUCUUAUCUUAGAUUUGUCUAGAUACGGAUGUAUCUAAUACUAAAAUGUGACUUGAUACAUCCAUAUCUAGAAAAAUCUAAGACAAGAAUUUUGGGACGGAGGGAGUACUUU